rnacentral:rRNA from 1 species
AUGGACAAUGGAAGCACAAGCAUUCAACGCUCCAACUAUGAAGUGGUGCAAGAUGAAGCCAAUGAGUUUGCAAUGAAUGAAGAUGAAGAACCUCGUGAGCUUUACCGGAGAUUAACCACUCUCGCGGUCUCACUCCGAGAUCAUGGGAGCAAGGAUACAAAUGCAAAUUGGAUCAAGCGCAAGUUUCUCAAGGCCAUGAUGCCUUACCAUAAGGCCAUGUCCUCUGUCAUCCGUCAAAGGCCGGACUUCCACACCUUGUCCUCAAGUGAAGUGUUGGAUGAGUUUGUGGCAAUGAGGAUCUUGGACAAGACCGCCAACAAUGCGGUAUUGCAUUCUCAACGAGCAAAGAAGCCCAACCUUGCCUUGAAGGCCAAGGCUAGUGUGGAAGAAGAGGAUGAAGAGUAA